AUACCCAUAGCCAUCUUCAAUCAUAAUAUUUUAUCUUAUCAUCCUAUAUGAAUCUUCAAUAUCUAUUUUCUGUAUUUCUCUCUUAUCAAUAUCGUAAUACCAAAGCAGGUCUCUCUUAUCAAUAUCGUAAUACCAAUUGCCGCCUAUAUAAUAUUACAUAUAUAAUAUCUAAUUGUAAUAUUCCGUCUAAUCGUAAUACUCACCUAAUAAUAAUUCUGUGAAGAAAAAAAUUAAUAUUAUUUUGUAUGCUUAUCAAUACCGUUAUUAUACCAAUUGCCGUCUACAUAAUAUUCAAUUGUAAUAUCCCCUCUUAUCGUAAUAAUAUCUUGUCUCAUCAUAACCAUUGAAUGUCUCUGUUGCAUUCCAAUAUUAUUAUCAAUAUAAUACCGUAACAUCCAUUGCCGUAUCCUAUCUCAUUGUCAUAUUCUAUCGCAUUGUAAUACUCCAUCUAAUAAUAAUUCUUUUAAAUGUGUUAACUCGUCAAAUCAUUAGCGUCUCUCACUUUAUAUGGGCAAGCUGACUUGUUGGAUCCAUGACGCUAAUCAUUAAUUUUAAAAACUCUAGUUGUUAAAAAUACGCAAUAAAUUCACUUAAAGCGUAUAAAUAUAGUGCCUACGGAUCUUAAUUUUGACUAGACCCAAACAGCGUCACGCCACUUCGAACACGAUUCGACCUAAUCCGACCUCUCGCCAAAUCAGUAUUCAUGCCAAUACCGUUUAUAUAAUCCAAGAUAAAAUUUUAGAAAAUAAAAUGAUAUAGAGAAGAGACAUUGAAGGUGAGAGGUAACUAAACUAAUAGUUUAUUAAUAAAAACUCUAAAAAUAUAUGGCAACCACAUUAUCAUCUAUCAGACCAGCCGCUACUUGGAUCAGCUUUCUGAGUAAUAUCCCCGACUUCAUUAAACUCUUGGUUCCCACCCCCCGCCCCCUAAUAUCCCCGACUUCAUUAAAAUCAAAUUUUAUAAUUUUUCGACAUUAUUUACCUUAUGAUCAAAAGGUCACAAGAUUGCUAAUUUUUAAUAGCCGGUACAGAAUUUUUGCUAGUUUAACAGUGUAAAAGAUUCGAAAUCGGUUGAAUUUUUGAUAGAAAAUUCUAUUCACCUCCAAUCUUAAAUUGAUGGAUCCAAACAUCCAUUUUUAAGAUGUCGUUCGAUUUUGACCAUUUAUUUUAUACUCGCUUGAUGAACUUUAUUAUAAUUUCGAAAAAUUACGAAAUUUAUUUUCUAGAAAUUUCAAGUACCUUAGAUCAUAUUUAACGGAGAGGAUCGUCGAUUCGGAAGUUCCAUCGUUGAAAACAACUUAUGAGUAUAAAGGGCUCUAUAUUCAUAAGAGUAUAGUAGCCCUAG
rnacentral:lncRNA from 1 species